GGUUAAAGAGUCGAACCAUAUCUAGCAGCUAGGUCACAGGAACUUUGCCACCAUUGCCAACAACGAACGGCAAUUAGAAGGGGACCCUGUAAAAAUGCAAGCAAGCACACACCAAGGAAACUCAAAGACAAAAAAGCUCCUUAGAUGGACGAGAGAAAGAGAUGUAGACAAAUCAGAGGGCUAGGAACCAAGGCGGUCUCUUAUAGCCCAACAGAGUUGGAGACCAACAACAACACCCCAAUCGGCUACAUUUCCUCUCUUCAGAUGCCAACCGGCAUGGAAGAGCCCUUGGAACAACCCAUCAAGCUUAACCAAAGCAAAUCUACCUUAGCAGCCACAAUGGAACCCAAUUAAACUCCAUCCAAAGGGGAGUACUA
rnacentral:misc_RNA from 1 species